GCUUACGGCCAUACCAACUUAGGCACGCCCGAUCUCGUCUGAUCUCGGAAGCUAAGCAGGGUCGGGCCUGGUUAGUACUUGGAUGGGUGACCGCCUGGGAACACCAGGUGCUGUAAGCA
rnacentral:rRNA from 1 species